CAAAACCUGCUACUGCAACCAAUUGCCGUCGCAUAAGGGCAUGAGACGGGAGACAGUCGCAAAGUUUUAUCUUUCUUCUACGAAACUCUGACCAACAAAAAUGUAAAAAACUUCACUCCCUCUCACUUCCUCUAUCUUUUUCCGUCUUCUCUCUCCUUCCAUUGCCAUAACCCUUCCAUCAUCCAUAUCACCAUGACCUUGGAAUCCACCGUCAGUGUCUUUACUGUUCACUCCAUUGCCACGCACCAUCGCCGGGACGACCUCUGCCACACCUUCAUUUACCGGUUUCCUGUAUAUGAAAUUCCACAUCCAUCAUUUCGACCGGAACCUCGUGAAGAGAGAUCUCAUACUCAAUUCAAUGGGCAUUUGACCAGCCUCUCAGCUACCCGCGAAUCUACCUCGUUGAUCUAUGCCAAGGGCUUGGGUGGCGUUUAUGAGAAAGAUGUGAGAAACGCUCUUAACAGCAGAUCUCAGAAGCUGAGGUGAAAAGGGUCAUUGACAUUCUCAUGGGUGCUUGUGAGCUAAUUAGAGCUGGAUGACAUAAAGGAAAAAGCACUUGAUCAGCAGCAAUUUGAGUUCUGUAUUAUGCAUUAACAAUUGCUACGGUCAUCAUUGAAUUGUACUGAUGAUUAGCAUGAUAUGUCAAGUCAUCAUAUGCAAGAUAAGAGUCUCAAGCACUUUGUGUAGGUGUUCAUUGAGACGUGAUGGAACUUGUGGAACAUAAUCCAUUGAGGCAAUCACUUGUUGGGUUUUCUUCUCAUAUAUCCAAGUCUGAUGAAUGAGAAUAAUGUUGUUGUUGUUGUAGCUACUCCUAUUGAAUAUGGUUCAGGCAGAGGAUUACUCGCAGCAGCCCCCUAUUCAGGAACUAAUUGGAAGGGAUCUUCAUGAUAUAUAAAGAAUGGAAAUUCAGACAUAUUUCGAGGAGGCUUGCAACAACACUUGAGUAAUUGGUACAUGAAGUAGAUCGAGGAAGAUCCCUGCAAAGUUCAUCUUGAAGUAGAGGAAAAUAACUAACUUGUAAAGCUUAAUUAUCAAUCUUGUAAAUUUUGGUAGAAGCUUCAUUCAUUUUGUAACAUUUAUGAGGAAAAUUAAAGUGUAACAUUUCCUUUUAUAUAAGCUUCAUUCCUUUUUGUAUAGUUUUCAUUCAUAAAAAAAAAA